rnacentral:lncRNA from 1 species
UUGGCUACUUCAGCUUCUUUCUCUUCUUCUUCUUUUUAAAUAAACACUAAUAAAACAGGAUUGAUAUCUCUUGAAAGUUCUAGUGAAGCAGGGAGGUUUUCCAGAAGGUGGUUGGAUCCCUUUAUUAAAAGCAUCUGUGCCACGGCCACUGGCAGAAGCCCAAACAUCCUGAAGUGGACGGCUCUGGGAAAUCAGAAAGAUAGAACACAGCCAAAUUCUAAGAUGGAACAAAUCGUAAAGUCAUACUGCAUCUUAAUUUGAUGACCCACAGGAAAGGUUUUUCUGCCUCAUCAAGUCUAUAAAGCAAGGUAUUUAUGGUUUUCUUGAGCACUUAAUAGGUAACAAGAGUAAUGUAUAAUGAUGCUAUUACACUGACUUAACAUAGACUGUUUCUUAAGGUAUGUUGUUAAUUUUACUACUUUGAUUUUCUCCAUGUGUGAUUGAUUUUGCAUUCAUUGUUUCAUAAUAUAUAUCCAGCCUCAGUAAAGCAUUCCAAAAGCAGAAGCAAGCAAGCACUUAGGGAAUAUUCACAUUAAAGAAGUCUUGUAACUCAAAAGAUGAAAAAUGCCAUGUAUCUCCUCUCCAAUAUGGUAAUUAACAGCUGAAAGUCAACUCUGGAUCAUCUGUAUAGUGGGGCAGUAAAGGGCAUAUAAAAUCAUAAAUAAACCCAGACUGGUUUUUGUUUUGGAAUGGCUCCUGUACUUCCAUAUGAAUAAGAGAGUGACUCACCCCCUUGGGAAUUCACAGUACAUCAAACCAAAUUAGGAAGCCAGGCAGCUGUGACCUGGUUUUGUAAGGGCCAAGAAAACUACAGAGUUUCACUACUGAACCUAGUAACUCAAAAUGAUUCCCUGGUUCCCAUGCCAUUUGAUACAUGGGUGUACCUUACUGACUCAUAUAAAAUGCCACUCUGGGCUUGUGUUUUCUCUUACCUUACCCAGAGUUGUAUGUGAGGAAAUAAAGGCUUGAGAGAUCUUGAGGUGGCAGUUUACAGGAGGGUAAAAGGAAACAGGAGUUAGAAUAAACAAUGUUAGUAAAAACUUGGAUGCAAGAUUGACCUUAUGCAAUCUCUAAGGUAAAUCCCCAAGAUUUAUUUCAUAUAACUACAGUAAAAAUAACCCUCAUGAAUUGAGUUCUAAUACUAAUGCUCAUUUCAGGUACAUUGAAUUGAAUGAGGGAGAGAGUUCUAAACUGCUUGUUCUCAGUCUACUCCAGGUAAAGCUUACAAAACUGCCUGUUGGGUUCUUUCAUCGUUAUUGUUGCCACUGGAAGGGCUUUUACCACCACUUUUGAACUCUACAGCCUCCUGAAUAUAUCUGUCCAUCUAAGAAAAGGAUUAAAUUCAAGAUAACCCUUGUCAUCUGCAUGCUGCCACAUGGUUAGGAUGAAGACUGACACACGAGACAAGUGAUGGAGUGUCACAGCCACAGAGGGGCACAUCAACCUGAUACAAGAGAAAUGGAGCGAGGAGAGGUGACUGUCUCAGGGGAGUGAUAGUCUUUCUGGGGAGGAAUUCUCAAACCCAAGUCCUUGUUUUGUUUUGCUUUUCCUUGGCAAUGAGAUUAUCUUGGAGGUAAAAUUGUGUAAAUGUGGACAACUGAGUAAAGGCAAACUACACAGAGAGUAGUGGAAAUAAGGAAUGGGAGAGGUGGAAAAGUAAAAGUAAACACAUGCUAAUGAUUCAGUGUUAAUUUUGUCAGGUUAAAUCACAGAAUUUGGAAAGAAAAAGGGCAUCCAACAGCCUUAAAGAUGAAGAAAUGGAAGCUCCAGAGUUGAAGAAAUGUGUCUUCACUCCCACAAGUAAUCUUGAAGUUCCGAGCCACCAUGAGAGUUUUCCUGACACUGAGGUAAUUUCCUACCAUGUUGACACCACCUUGCGCCAGUGUUCAAGACCAUCACAGCUAUGAACCUUGUUGGCUUGUAUCAGAUGCCUGCUGGGACCUUGGCUGCCCAUAGUGCUCUCUAAAGACUCCAGCUUUCCAUAACUCCUACAGUUUUAAGUUCAAGGAAUGAUGAAGAGGACGCCAAUGUACGGAUUUGAUUUACCAAAUCAGGCCUGUACAGCAGCUGAAUCAACCUAUGGGAAAAUUUUGGCUCUCUUUAACAUUCUAAUUUUUGAGAACACCAUUGCAAAUACAUGAUUUCCAAAAUAAUAACAAUGCACUUAAUUAAUCACAUUAUAGAUCAUCAUAUAAAAAUAAAUACCUAAAUAGAAAUACAAUUUAUUUUUUUCUUAAAUUCCAAAUUGCAUAGAGCUGCCUCCUCUGCAGUUUUCCAUCACUGCCUCCUUCUCAGACUUCUCCUUUUGUUUUUUCAUUUCUUUGUACAGACUCCAGUCAUUUGUUUAAAUAUUCAUACUCAACCAGAAUACGUUUCCUAAUGUGGGAAUCAUUGCUUAUUCACAGGCACAGCCCUUGACAUCCUGAAAACAUGUAGUAAUGAUUUUUGGAAUAAAGGUUUGACACUUCUACAUUUACAUGUAAAUGGAGUUAAAAAAUUCUAGGUUGAGAAUAAGAAUACUAUAAAAAUUUUGAUCUAAAAUGGAUGUUAGAGAUAACCCAGCGCAACCAGUUGCUCUUACAAUUGAGGAAACUGAGGUCAAGAAUGAGUGAGUGGCUCAGAGUCACCCAGCUCAUUAGAGCCUGAAUGAACCACCUUGGUUCACUACCUCUGUUCACCGCCCUUUCUAGUGCACUUCAUGAAAUCACUCUCUAAGUACACAUCAACUCAUUUAGAUACUUAAAUGAUUCUUGAGAAAGUAGAAAGUAUAAAUGCCUUGACCACACAUAAGAACUUUGACAUAUUUCACUCUCUGUACUGAAAUUUCUAACAAUGCCUGGUACAUAAUAGGUAUUCAGUUGAUUUGGGUUUCUACAUCCCUUUUCUCCUUCUCUUCUUCAAGUUUGCAUGUAAACCACAUUAAAGACUGCUAAUAUAUAAAGUAGGCACCAUCUCAUGAAUCAAAGAGGGGAUUCCUAGAGCCACUGAGGAUGUCUUUAGAAGCCAGUGGUGCUGAUCCCACAGCUACUCUCCUGUGGACAGUGGAAGUGCUCCCCAAAGUACAUUCUUAGGGGAAAUGGGGCUGCCGCCAUGAGGAGGUGUCAAUAGAGAUUAGAGAUGGUCUUUGUGCUGUGAGAGAGACCUCACAUUUCCAAAUGCCAAGUCCUUUCUUCCUCAGUCAAAUGUACCCCCUAGAACAUAGAUACCUACUAAGCUGUAGAUUUUUGAGGGGAUACAGAGCUGAAUCCAUAAGAUAGUGGAUUAUUCAGAUAAGAAUUUCUGUAGAUAGAGAGUUUCCAAUCAAUUAUGUACCCCAACAAUGUGAGGUCAACUACUUAGACUACCUCUUAGCUUCUACAUUUAGAUGUUUCAAAGUCUGUUCUGAUCCUUAAAUUUGACACUUCUCUUUAAUAUAAACAAAGCCCUUUUAGUAUUCUUUGGGAUUAGCUUACCACUUAAUAAAUUCCUUCCAACACUAUCUUCUGUGAGUCAACAAACAGCUUCCUCCUGUGAUUUGGGCCUGGCUAACAACAAGUUAGACUUCAGACGAAUAAUUACUAGGCUGAGGCAUUUUCCAGGUGGUACAUUCCCACUUUGAGGAAACUUGGUCAUUUUACUUUUGCAUUUAAGAUGUCCUUAGGCUGAAAAUAAAGUGUCAGUGUUUGAAAUGUCCUUCUCUGUAUCAUUGACUUGAUUUUUAGAUAAUAUUUCAGGCUGGACUGACACCAAAAGUGCUUUUCAAAAACACAUGAAAAGACCAAAAUUAUUUAAAUAAUUUACAAUAUAUGAAAGGUAGUAAAUUCUAGGCAAACAUUUUAACUAGGUUUUUAUGGAGAACUGACAGUGAGUAGCUUUGUGCUGAACCCUGUGUAAGGCAUUAAAUGAUGCACUCGUGUAAUUAUUUUCCCUAAAUUAAUGCCUGUCCCUGACACAUCUUAGACUUUUCCACCCUUGCCCUAAAUAACUUAAUUAAAAAAAAAAAUUCUCCCAGCUAA